rnacentral:rRNA from 1 species
UGGGGAAUAUUGCACAACGGGCGAAAGCCUGAUCCAGCAAUGCCGCGUGUGUGAAGAAGGCCUUCGGGUUGUAAAGCACUUUUGUCCGGAAAGAAAUCCUUGGCUCUAAUACAGUCGGGGGAUGACGGUACCGGAAGAAUAAGCACCGGCUAACUACGUGCCAGCAGCCGCGGUAAUACGUAGGGUGCAAGCGUUAAUCGGAAUUACUGGGCGUAAAGCGUGCGCAGGCGGUUUGCUAAGACCGAUGUGAAAUCCCCGGGCUCAACCUGGGAACUGCAUUGGUGACUGGCAGGCUAGAGUAUGGCAGAGGGGGGUAGAAUUCCACGUGUAGCAGUGAAAUGCGUAGAGAUGUGGAGGAAUACCGAUGGCGAAGGCAGCCCCCUGGGCCAAUACUGACGCUCAUGCACGAAAGCGUGGGGAGCAAACAGGAUUAGAUACCCUGGUAGUCCACGCCCUAAACGAUGUCAACUAGUUGUUGGGGAUUCAUUUCCUUAGUAACGUAGCUAACGCGUGAAGUUGACCGCCUGGGGAGUACGGUCGCAAGAUUAAAACUCAAAUGAAUUGACGGGGUCAUA